AUCCAGCUGACGUGUCCCAAAUAGGAAUAAACGAGCGUCCUGGAU
rfam:Schistosoma mattheei strain Denwood, Zambia genome assembly, scaffold: SMTD_scaffold0003694